CAGAAUUGCCAAAACAUAAAUAUUAUAGGAAGUGUUUCACUACAUUUUAAUCAUCAUCAACACAUGAUUAGUCAUUGUGAUCCAAUGCAAAAAUCAAAGAUCAAAUGAUUUUUUAGGCCAUCACUUAGAACAACUGAACUUUUCAUCUCUAAGAUAUUGUAGAUAAUUAUGUAAUCAUAGUAAAUUCAAAAUAGCUUGGAACCAUGCAAUAGCGAGAACAGAGUCGUCUUAAGUUUUUGAAGCCCUCUCUAAAUUAGUCACGGUUCAACCAUGACAAAACAAUUAGACACCCUAUUUAACUAUGUCAAACUCUUGUAUCACGAGCCACACACCAUUUAUACAAUAUAUUUCUACAAAUGUCUAAAUGCUCAAUAUCAUAGUAUCUAAAUGCCUUAUACAACACCAUACAAAUGAUUUUCUGAUAUUUUCACUACAGAAAAAGUUUUAAAAAAUCACAGUAGCAUGACUGAUAAAUCUUUAGCAUUUUCAAAACUCAUUAGGGCUACCUUCUGGCCACUAUCCAUGGCAAUGAAUAGAAUUGAUUGCAGCUUCUGAAAGUCUCGACAAACCACCUUUCUACCCUUGCCAGAAUCAGAUUCUGGCUGCAAGACUAGCUAUAUUCCAAUCAUCAUCACACGAA